CAAAUGAAAAAAAACCUCUCAGGGCCUUGAAUAAGACCCAGUGAACUAUUUUUGGAGACCCUAUUCGAAAGGAUAGGAUG
rnacentral:snRNA from 1 species